GGGUGUAUACAGCUACUUGAACACUAGCCAUGAGUUUUGCAAUCUCACGACCCGAGAACCCUUCUGUUUUCCGUGCAGCCUCUCGCAAGACAUCAUCCAGCAGAUCUUUUAUGGUUAUUUUCUGCGGUUACUUCUUAAUACUUCUUCACCACAGAGGUAUUUGUUCAAGUAUAGUUUCAGCAGUUUGUAAUGCUUAUCCUCCUGUGGUAGUCAAAAUUCAAUAACUUCGUCAAUGCGGUCAGGGAUAGCACUGUCAAGAUCUCCGGGUCUCUGUGUGGCAAGAACAAGAACUACAUCCCGAGAUCGG
rnacentral:lncRNA from 1 species